rnacentral:rRNA from 1 species
UGCAAGUCGAACGGUGAAGGCGGAGCUUGCUCUGCUGGAUCAGUGGCGAACGGGUGAGUAACACGUGAGCAAUCUGCCCCUGACUCUGGGAUAAGCGCUGGAAACGGCGUCUAAUACUGGAUACGAGCUGCGAAGGCAUCUUCAGCAGCUGGAAAGAAUUUCGGUCAGGGAUGAGCUCGCGGCCUAUCAGCUUGUUGGUGAGGUAACGGCUCACCAAGGCGUCGACGGGUAGCCGGCCUGAGAGGGUGACCGGCCACACUGGGACUGAGACACGGCCCAGACUCCUACGGGAGGCAGCAGUGGGGAAUAUUGCACAAUGGGCGAAAGCCUGAUGCAGCAACGCCGCGUGAGGGACGACGGCCUUCGGGUUGUAAACCUCUUUUAGCAGGGAAGAAGCGAAAGUGACGGUACCUGCAGAAAAAGCGCCGGCUAACUACGUGCCAGCAGCCGCGGUAAUACGUAGGGCGCAAGCGUUAUCCGGAAUUAUUGGGCGUAAAGAGCUCGUAGGCGGUUUGUCGCGUCUGCUGUGAAACCCCGAGGCUCAACCUCGGGCCUGCAGUGGGUACGGGCAGACUAGAGUGCGGUAGAGGAGAUUGGAAUUCCUGGUGUAGCGGUGGAAUGCGCAGAUAUCAGGAGGAACACCGAUGGCGAAGGCAGAUCUCUGGGCCGUAACUGACGCUGAGGAGCGAAAGGGUGGGGAGCAAACAGGCUUAGAUACCCUGGUAGUCCACCCCGUAAACGUUGGGAACUAGUUGUGGGGUCCAUUCCACGGAUUCCGUGACGCAGCUAACGCAUUAAGUUCCCCGCCUGGGGAGUACGGCCGCAAGGCUAAAACUCAAAGGAAUUGACGGGGACCCGCACAAGCGGCGGAGCAUGCGGAUUAAUUCGAUGCAACGCGAAGAACCUUACCAAGGCUUGACAUAUACGAGAACGGGCCAGAAAUGGUCAACUCUUUGGACACUCGUAAACAGGUGGUGCAUGGUUGUCGUCAGCUCGUGUCGUGAGAUGUUGGGGUUAAGUCCCGCAACGAGCGCAACCCUCCGUUCUAUGUUGCCAGCACGUAAUGGUGGGGAA